rnacentral:rRNA from 1 species
UUGAAAUCUAGUACCUUCGGUGCUCGAGUUGUAAUUUGAAGGUAGUUUUCUGGUGCUGGCCCUUGUCUAUGUUCCUUGGAACAGGACGUCAUAGAGGGUGAGAAUCCCGUCUGAUGGGGUGUCCAGUGCUUUGUAGAUUUCUACCGAAGAGUCGAGUUGUUUGGGAAUGCAGCUCUAAGUGGGUGGUAAAUUCCAUCUAAAGCUAAAUACUGGCGAGAGACCGAUAGCGAACAAGUACAGUGAUGGAAAGAUGAAAAGAACUUUGAAAAGAGAGUGAAAAAGUACGUGAAAUUGUUGAAAGGGAAGGGUAUUGGAUCAGACUUGGUGUUUUGUGAUUAUCUUCCCUUCUUGGGUUGUGCACUCGCAUUUCACUGGGCCAGCAUCGGUUCGGAUGGCAAGAUAAUGGCUUGGGAACGUGGCACUCCUCGGAGUGUGUUAUAGCCCUUGUUGAUGUUGCCUAUCUGGACCGAGGACUGCGGCUUUUGCCUAGGAUGCUGGCGUAAUGAUUCAAUACCGCCCGUCUUG